rnacentral:rRNA from 1 species
UGAAACACUGUGCGGUCAUCGGACCAAUCGGCGUGGAACGCGCGACCCUAGCGGGUAGUAGGUAAGCAAUGGAGAGACGCAGGAAGGUAGCCGAACCGCGGCGAUGGUUGACCGCGGGUAAGGGUGUAGGGCGAGGUGUAGGCAAAUCCGCACCUCACAUAGCCUGAGACCUGACACGGACCCGUAUCGGGGAAGUCGGUGAUCCUAUGCUGCCAAGAAAAUCUUCUAGCGAGGUUCAAGCCGCCCGUACCCCAAACCGACUCAGGUGGUUAGGUAGAGAAUACCAAGGCGAUCGAGUGAAUCGUGGUUAAGGAAUUCGGCAAAAUACCCCCGUAACUUAGGGAGAAGGGGGGCCCAGAGGGUGACGGGACUUGCUCCCCGAGCCUGAACGGCCGCAGAGACCAGGGAGAAGCGACUGUUUACUAAAAACACAGGUCCGUGCCAAGUCGCAAGACGAUGUAUACGGACUGACGCCUGCCCGGUGCUGGAACGUUAAGGGGACCGGUUAGCCUCACGGCGAAGCUGAGAACUUAAGCGCCAGUAAACGGCGGUGGUAACUAUAACCAUCCUAAGGUAGCGAAAUUCCUUGUCGGGUAAGUUCCGACCUGCACGAAUGGCGUAACGAUUUCUCCACUGUCUCAACCACGAACUCGGCGAAAUUGCACUACGAGUAAAGAUGCUCGUUACGCGCAGAAGGACGGAAAGACCCCGGGACCUUUACUACAGCUUGGUAUUGGUGUUCGGUACGGCUUGUGUAGGAUAGGUGGGAGACUGUGAAGCGGACACGCCAGUGUCGGUGGAGUCAACGUUGAAAUACCACUCUGGUCGUUCUGGAUAUCUAACCUAGGUCCGUGAUCCGGAUCAGGGACAGUGCCUGGUGGGUAGUUUAACUGGGGCGGUUGCCUCCUAAAAGGUAACGGAGGCGCCCAAAGGUUCCCUCAGCCUGGUUGGCAAUCAGGUGUCGGGUGUAAGUGCACAAGGGAGCUUGACUGUGAGACAGACAUGUCGAGCAGGGACGAAAGUCGGGACUAGUGAUCCGGCGGCUGCUUGUGGAAGCGCCGUCGCUCAACGGAUAAAAGGUACCGGGGAUAACAGGCUGAUCUUGCCCAAGAGUCCAUAUCGACGGCAUGGUUUGGCACCUCGAUGUCGGCUCGUCGCAUCCUGGGCUGGAGUAGGUCCCAAGGGUUGGGCUGUUCGCCCAUUAAAGCGGUACGCGAGCUGGGUUUAGAACGUCGUGAGACAGUUCGGUCCCUAUCCUCUGCGCGCGCAGGAAACUUGAGAAGGGCUGUCCCUAGUACGAGAGGACCGGGAUGGACGAACCUCUGGUGUGUCAGUUGUUCUGCCAAGAGCACCGCUGAUUAGCUACGUUCGGGAGUGAUAACCGCUGAAAGCAUCUAAGCGGGAAGCAAGCUUCAAGAUGAGGUUUCCAUGGGGUUUACCCCGAGAGGCUCCCAGCUAGACUACUGGGUUGAUAGGCCGGAUGUGGAAGUGCGGUAACGCAUGGAGCUGACCGGUACUAAUAGGCCGAUGACUUGACU